rnacentral:hammerhead_ribozyme from 1 species
AUUCAACUGAUGAAUUGCAAAUAAAACGAAACACCCGUUCUGAAU